AGGUUUGGCACCUCGAUGUCGGCUCAUCACAUCCUGGGGCUGUAGUAGGUCCCAAGGGUUGGGCUGUUCGCCCAUUAAAGUGGUACGCGAGCUGGGUUCAGAACGUCGUGAGACAGUUCGGUCCCUAGCCGUCGCAGGCGUAGGAAAUUUGAGAAGACCUGUCCUUAGUACGAGAGGACCGGGAUGGACGUACCUCUGGUGUACCAGUUGUCCUGCCAAGGGCAUGGCUGGGUAGCUAUGU
rnacentral:rRNA from 1 species